GUCCACACGGUAAACGAUGGAUACUCGCUGUUGGCGAUAUACUGUCAGCGGCCAAGUGAAACGUUAAGUAUCCCACCUGGGGAGUACGCCGGCAACGGUGAAACUCAAAGGAAUUGACGGGGCCCGCACAAGCGGAGGAACAUGUGGUUUAAUUCGAUGAUACGCGAGGAACCUUACCCGGGCUUGAACUGCACCCCGAAUUUACCGGAGACGGUAAAGCCGCAAGGCGGGUGUGGAGGUGCUGCAUGGUUGUCGU
rnacentral:rRNA from 1 species